rnacentral:lncRNA from 1 species
AAAAAAAACAUGAAAACGUGUAAAAAUCACAAUUCUCAGUUCUCAACAAAAAUGCCAACAAAUUAACAAAAAAACAAAAACUUCACACACAUACACAUUUAAAUACACAUGUGACACUCACACACACAAAGGAAUGUUAAUAUAGGUAUAUAGCUCAUUAUAGAUCAUCUUUUAAUUUUGUGUAUCUUAUAAAAUACUAUUUUCAUUUAAUUUGCAAUAACAAGAACACUGAUGAUAAAAGAAGAGACCAACACAUUGGUAAAUACAUAUUUGGUUCUUUAACUUGUAUCACUGUUAUGUCUCUAUAUAUAUAAUAUGAUACAACACAUCCUUACACCUUAGUUAUUAUAUAAAUAGGUGUAUGCAGCAGAAACAUGGAUACAAGAAAAUUCUUUCAAACUCAGAUGUAUAAAAGUCAAAACUAUGAGGUCUGAUAGUCAAAACUCUGAUGCCUUGGUUAAUACUUAAUUUUAAAUUCUUUUAUGAGAGAAUUUUAUUUUGAAUAUUAAGUACAAAAUGAUCUGUUCAUAUCUUAAAUAUGUACAUAUUACCUUGAACUUAAUA